GCACGAUUGCUUUGGAUCACAAAAUCAUAAGAUAUUACUGGGAAAAACUAUUUGUCAUGGCAUAUGGAGUGUUUAACUAAGAUCCCUAUUAGUGGAGAAGAUAUAUGUCUAAUAGACAGUGCAUCAACGCAUACGAUUCUUAAGAAAAAGAGUUAUUUCUCUACUUUAACCAUGAAAAAGGCAAAUGUUGGUACUAUAUCUGGUAAAUCAAAAUUAAUUGAAGGCUUUGGAGAAGCUUAUGUAGUGUUGCCAGGUGGAACACCAUU
rnacentral:lncRNA from 1 species